rnacentral:rRNA from 1 species
CAGCAGUGGGGAAUAUUGCACAAUGGGGGAAACCCUGAUGCAGCGACGCCGCGUGAGCGAUGAAGUAUUUCGGUAUGUAAAGCUCUAUCAGCAGGGAAGAAAAUGACGGUACCUGACUAAGAAGCACCGGCUAAAUACGUGCC